UACGUAGGGGGCAAGCGUUGUCCGGAAUCAUUGGGCGUAAAGAGCGUGUAGGCGGCUCGGUAAGUCCGCUCUGAAAGCCCGGGGGCUCAACCCCGGGAGGCGGGCGGAUACUGUCGGGCUAGAGUCCGGAAGAGGCGAGUGGAAUUCCUGGUGUAGCGGUGAAAUGCGCAGAUAUCAGGAGGAACACCAAUGGCGAAGGCAGCCCGCUGGGACGGUACUGACGCUGAGACGCGAAAGCGUGGGGAGCAAACAGG
rnacentral:rRNA from 1 species